rnacentral:tRNA from 1 species
CUUUUAGCUUAAGGUAAAAAGCGUUAGUUUGAAGAGCUGAAGAUAACAUCGUGUUAGAGA